rnacentral:rRNA from 1 species
GAUGAACGCUGGCGGCGUGCUUAACACAUGCAAGUCGAACGGGAAUUACUUUAUUGAAACUUCGGUCGAUUUAAUUUAAUUCUAGUGGCGGACGGGUGAGUAACGCGUGGGUAACCUGCCUUAUACAGGGGGAUAACAGUCAGAAAUGACUGCUAAUACCGCAUAAGCGCACGGAACCGCAUGGUUCUGUGUGAAAAACUCCGGUGGUAUAAGAUGGACCCGCGUUGGAUUAGCUUGUUGGUGAGGUAACGGCUCACCAAGGCGACGAUCCAUAGCCGGCCUGAGAGGGUGAACGGCCACAUUGGGACUGAGACACGGCCCAGACUCCUACGGGAGGCAGCAGUGGGGAAUAUUGCACAAUGGGGGAAACCCUGAUGCAGCGACGCCGCGUGAAGGAAGAAGUAUCUC